rnacentral:tRNA from 1 species
UCAGUAAGUAGUUUAUUUAAAAUAUUAAUUUUGGGGAUUAAUGAUGGGUAUAUUACUCUUUACUGAA